rnacentral:rRNA from 1 species
UUCUGGCUCAGGAUGAACGCUAGCUACAGGCUUAACACAUGCAAGUCGCGGGGCAGCAUAUAGAUAGCUUGCUAUUAUGAUGGCGACCGGCGCACGGGUGAGUAACGCGUAUCCAACCUUCCCCAUAGUAGGGUAUAGCCGGCGAAAGUCGGAUUAAUCCCCUAUGUUGUUUGAAGCGGACAUCUAAUUCAAACCAAAGAUUCAUCGCUAUGGGAUGGGGAUGCGUCUGAUUAGGUUGCAGGCGGGGUAACGGCCCACCUGGCCGACGAUCAGUAGGGGUUCUGAGAGGAAGGUCCCCCACACUGGUACUGAGACACGGACCAGACUCCUACGGGAGGCAGCAGUGAGGAAUAUUGGUCAAUGGGCGCGAGCCUGAACCAGCCAAGUAGCGUGCAGGAUGACGGCCCUACGGGUUGUAAACUGCUUUUAUGCGGGGAUAAAGUGCGGCACGUGUGCCGUUUUGCAGGUACCGCAUGAAUAAGGACCGGCUAAUUCCGUGCCAGCCGCGGC